GUUUGAUCCUGGCUCAGAAUCAACGCUGGCGGCGUGCCUAACACAUGCAAGUCGAACGAGAAAGUGGAGCAAUCCAUGAGUAAAGUGGCGACCGGGUGAGUAACACGUGACUAACCUACCUUCGAGUGGGGGAUAACUCCGGGAAACCGGGGCUAAUACCGCAUAACAUCCUCGGAUCGGAAGAACUGGGGAUCAAAGGAGCAAUUCGCUUGAAGAGGGAGUCGCGGCUGAUUAGCUUGUUGGCGGGGUAAUGGCCCACCAAGGCGAUGAUCGGUAUCCGGCCUGAGAGGGCGCACGGACACACUGGAACUGAAACACGGUCCAGACUCCUACGGGAGGCAGCAGUGGGGAAUUUUGCGCAAUGGGGGAAACCCUGACGCAGCAACGCCGCGUGGAGGAUGAAGUCCCUUGGGACGUAAA
rnacentral:rRNA from 1 species